GACAGAGGAUGCGAGUGUUAUCCGGAUUUAUUGGGCGUAAGGAGUCUGUAGGUGGGUAAUUUACAUCUUAUGUGUAUAUCAGGAAUCAAUCCUAGAAAGCGUAAGAAACAAUUAUCUAGAGUUUAGUAGAGUUUAAAGGAAUUUUCAGUGGAGUAGUAAAAUGUGUAGAUAUUGAAAAGAACACCAAAGGCGAAAGCAUUUAAACAAGCUAAUACUGACACUGAGAGACGAAAGCUAGGGGAGCAAACAGGAUUAGAUACCCGAGUAGU
rnacentral:rRNA from 1 species